rnacentral:rRNA from 1 species
CGAGGACGAACGCUGGCGGCGUGCUUCAUACAUGCAAGUCGAACGAGAAACUGACUUCGGUCAGUGGAAAGUGGCGGACGGGUGAGUAAUAUGUAGAGAAUCUGCCCUUGAGUGGGGGGACAACAGAGGGAAACUUCUGCUAGUACCCAUAUGAGCUAAGCUGAAAUGCUUAUCUUGAAAACUCCGGUGCUCAAGGAUGAGUCUGCAUCUGAUUAGCUUGUUGGCGGUGUAAUGGACCACCAAGGCGACGAUCAGUAGCUGGUUUGAGAGGAUGAUCAGCCACAAUGGGACUGAGACACGGCCCAUACUCCUACGGGAGGCAGCAGUAGGGAAUUUUGCGCAAUGGGCGAAAGCCCUGACGCAGCAACGCCGCGUGAACGAUUAAGCCCUUCGGGGUGUAAAGUUCUGUCAGUAGGGACGAAACUUGACGGUACCUACAGAGGAAGCACCGGCUAACUCCGUGCCAGCCGCUGC